AUUGAACGCUAGCGGGAGGCCUUACACAUGCAAGUCGAACGAGUGGCGGACGGGUGAGUAAUAUAUGGGAACCUGCCCGGUGGCGGGGGAUAACUACUGGAAACAGUAGCUAAUACCGCAUACCAUCGGAUGUGCCCAUAUGGGAUUAGCUAGUUGGUGGGGUAACGGCUCACCAAGGCGACGAUCCGUAGCUGGUUUGAGAGGACGACCAGCCACACUGGAACGGAGACACGGUCCAGACUCCUACGGGAGGCAGCAGUGGGGAAUUUUGGACAAUGGGCGCAAGCCUGAUGCAGCCAUCCCGCGUGUAUGAAGAAGGCCUUCGGGUUGUAAAGUACUUUCAGCGGAGAGGCGUUACCCGCAGAAGAAGCACCGGCUAACUACGUGCCAGCAGCCGCGGUAAUAC
rnacentral:rRNA from 1 species